GCCUUCAUUGUGUAGUAGUCAGCACGCUCGACGCGUAACCGAGAGGUCCUGGUUCGAUUCCAGGCCAAGGCA
rnacentral:tRNA from 1 species